rnacentral:misc_RNA from 1 species
UUUCCGUAGGUGAACCUGCGGAAGGAUCAUUGUCGUGACCCUGACCAAAACAGACCGCGCACGCGUCAUCCAAUCCGCCGGUGACGGCAGCGUCCAUUGCUCGGCCAAGUCCUCGACCGCCUCCCCUCCUCGGAGUGGGGGCUCGGGGUAAAAGAACCCACGGCGCCGAAGGCGUCAAGGAACACUGUGCCUAACCCGGGGGCAUGGCUAGCUUGCUAGUCGUCCCCCGUGUUGCAAAGCUAUUUAAUCCACACGACUCUCGGCAACGGAUAUCUCGGCUCUC